rnacentral:rRNA from 1 species
GAUGAACGCUGGCGGCGUGCUUAACACAUGCAAGUCGAGCGAUCUUCUUCGGAAGAGAGCGGCGGACGGGUGAGUAACGCGUGGGUAACCUGCCCUGUACACACGGAUAACAUACCGAAAGGUAUGCUAAUACGGGAUGAUAUAUGAAAGUUGCAUGGCUUUUAUAUCAAAGCUCCGGCGGUACAGGAUGGACCCGCGUCUGAUUAGCUAGUUGGUAAGGUAACGGCUUACCAAGGCGACGAUCAGUAGCCGACCUGAGAGGGUGAUCGGCCACACUGGAACUGAGACACGGUCCAGACUCCUACGGGAGGCAGCAGUGGGGAAUAUUGCACAAUGGGCGAAAGCCUGAUGCAGCAACGCCGCGUGAGCGAUGAAGGCCUUCGGGUCGUAAAGCUCUGUCCUCAAGGAAGAUAAUGACGGUACUUGAGGAGGAAGCCCCGGCUAACUACGUGCCAGCAGCCGCGGUAAUACGUAGGGGGCUAGCGUUAUCCGGAAUUACUGGGCGUAAAGGGUGCGUAGGCGGUCUUUCAAGCCAGAAGUGAAAGGCUACGGCUCAACCGUAGUAAGCUUUUGGAACUGUAGGACUUGAGUGCAGGAGAGGAGAGUAGAAUUCCUAGUGUAGCGGUGAAAUGCGUAGAUAUUAGGAGGAAUACCAGUAGCGAAGGCGGCUCUCUGGACUGUAACUGACGCUGAGGCACGAAAGCGUGGGGAGCAAACAGG